rnacentral:tRNA from 1 species
UUAUUAUUUUGGCAGAUUAGUGCAGUGAAUUUAGAAUUCAGAAAUGUAAUUUAUUACAAAUAAUA